ACAGAGGUCUCAACCGUUGUUCGGAUUCAUUGGGCGUAAAGGGUGCGUAGGCGGUCGCGCAAGUCGGAUGUGAAAUCUCAGGGCUCAACCCUGAAACUGCAUUCGAUACUGCGUGGCUGGAGUGCUGGAGGGGAGACUGGAAUUUACGGUGUAGCAGUGAAAUGCGAAGAGAUCGUAAGGAAGACCAGUGGCGAAGGCGGGUCUCUGGACAGUUCCUGACACUGAGGCACGAAGGCCAGGGGAGCAAACGGGA
rnacentral:rRNA from 1 species